CCACUUGAAAAUGUUUAACUAAUAGUUCAUAAUAAAUCUGAAAAAGGGAAUUCUCCUCAUACCCUCCUACCUCUCCCUCUUCUUUUUCUCUUCCUCCUCCCUCUUCUCUCCCCCCUCCUUCCUCCUCCUCUCCUGCCUCCUUCCUCUCUCUUUCUCCUUGCCGUUAUCUUUUGAGCCACAAAAUGGCCAACUGGCUUACAGCAGGGCAGCAUUGACAGUUCCCCAUUCUGUGCAAACACCUUUGGAGCGAAUCCUGUGGCAGGGAAGAGAGAGCAACUAGCUUCCUGAAGUCUCAGCCGGGUCUGUUAAUGAACGCUGCUGGCACUGUAAUUUACAGAUGGGAUUAUGACAUUCCCACCUCUACUCAGGUCCUGCUUCCUCAACUCUCAGAGGCCGAUGAGUUGGAUUGCAUUUGUGUGAAGGUUUUUCUCACCACAACCAAAUAAGAAGAAGACAUCAAAACAGGAAGCAAGAUGAGGAUCCAGAAAGCACACGUGGAGCCUGUCAUGGCUCCAGCUCCAUUCUGUCCCCAUUGUGUGAAUCCUGCCAUGAGCAACACGCCAUCCAUCAGCCCCUCCCAACCCACCCUAAUGGAGUCUUCCUUUUCACCUCCUCCUGGAUCUCCAGGGCAGCUUUUCACUCGCCCUUCAUCAGUGAACUUCAUGGAACGGCUCUCAGAAUAUUCUACCAACCCCGUAUUUUCUGGAACAUUGUAGUGAGCUUCAUGCAGAUUGUUGAUCUCUGUGCUCCAAAGAGCUCAGCAAAUUCCCCAGGCUCAGCCCAUGUGCUCUCGACUUUUCUAAUGUCCACCUUGAGACUUAUCUAUCCCUAAAAAUAAUUUAAAAGCACAGGAAAGGAUAAGGUGGAGAAGAAAACCCAAGAAGAGCAAAUUUACUCCUUCUGUGUUUACUGAGUAAAAAUCUAAACAGCCCUAGGGCUCCACCAAACAAGGGUGAGACUGACACAAUGAUUUAAAUGACAUGGUCAAACAAAUAAAUAAAAAGGCGUAAAGGGGAGGUUUGAUAUC
rnacentral:lncRNA from 1 species